GAUGAACGCUGGCGGCGUGCCUAACACAUGCAAGUCGAGCGAACAGACGCUGAGCUUGUGCGUUUGACGUUAGCGGCGGACGGGUGAGUAACGCGUGGAUCACCUACUUGUCUUUCUGGGAUAAUUUCGGAAAACCGGCGCUAAUACCGGAUAAUAUCUUGAACCGUGUGGUGCAUUGGAAAAUGACGGCUUUGGUGGAUGUACUAGCGGCUUCCGAGCCGGAUUAGCUAGUUGGUAGGGUACCGGCUUACCAAGGCUACGAGGCGUGGCCGAGCUGAGGGGGGGAUCGGCGACACUGGAACUGAGACACGGUCCAGACGCCUACGGGAGGCAGCAGUAGGGAAUGUUACGCAAUGGGCGAAAGCCUGACGGAGCAACGCCGCGUGAGUGAUGAAGGUCUUCGGAUCGUAAAACCCUGUUAUUGGGGAAGAACAGAUGUGGAAGUAGCUAUGCACGUCUUGACGGUACCUAAUCAAGAAGCAACGGCUAACUACGUG
rnacentral:rRNA from 1 species